rfam:Bordetella genomosp. 9 strain AT17164, complete genome.
UGCUUUUUGCGCAGGCGGAGCUCUACCGGAAACUGAAGUCGUAAACACCUACAUCGCCACGCAUCGAGCGUCUACGGGGUCGAGCCGGUCUGCAAGGCGUUGCAAGUUGUCCCG